rnacentral:rRNA from 1 species
UACGUAGGGUGCGAGCGUUGCCCGGAUUUAUUAGGGGCGUGAAAGGCGCGUAGGCGGCUCGGCACGUCCGUUGUGAAAUCGCCCGGCUCAACUGGCGGGUCAGCGGAUACGGCCGAGCUUGAGCAAGCUAGGGGCAAUGGAAUUCCCGGUGUAGUGGUGGAAUGCGUAGAUAUCGGGAGGAACACCAGUGGCGAAGGCGGUUGCCUGGAGCUUUGCUGACGCUGAUGCGCGAAAGCGUGGGGAGCGAGUCCGG